UAUUCAGGGGCUCUGGGUAAAAUAAUAGGACUUGCAUCUUUGUUGUUAAAUGAAAUAUAUAACUUUUAUUACUCCUCUUGGGAAACUUCCAAGUUAGGUACAGAGAAGCUUUCAUCCUCUUGCAGCCUACCUGGGCACUGCCUGGAACCCUAAUCCUGCAUUCAACUGGGGGUCUACUCAUCCCUGAGUGACCCCCAGUGGAGUGAAAGGAGAGUCGUGGGACAUCAACAGUGGGAUAUCAACAGUGGUUGAUGUUUUUGGAAGAAAAUGAAUGGCCCUCCUGAAUGUGAAGGAAAAACUCAUUUUCAGACAUCAGAAGAUUACCUGUUGGAAUAAAGAACUUACCAGAUUUGGGCUUCCUCAUUUGUAAAUACAGAUGCAAGAAUGUUGUGAAGAUCACAUGAGAUAAAUUAUGCUACCUGCCUGGUAUAUAGCAAGCCAUCAAUGAAUUUCUUACUACAAAUUUCUGUAUCCUUUUUUCUUAGUGUUUUAAAAUAGGAGCAUUGUUGAUUUUGCUUUACAUUUGAAAAGAGCACUUUGAAUCUCAGAAGAUAAUCACUUACAAUCAAAACAUAUUUUUCUUCUGACUUUUUUUAUUAUAUAAGGGGAGAAUUGUGGAUAAAAUCUUAAUCCUAAAAUCAACAUUGGUAAUGUUAAAGCAGGAGCAAAACUUUGCUUCAAAAAUCAAAAUAAAUUUAUCAUUUUACAACAACAAAAAGAGUUAAUGUCUGAUAUAAAUCCAAAUGAAAAGAACACGUGUUUCUUCAGCAAGGAGAUAUAACAAUUCUAAAUAUAUAUACACCCAAUAUUGGAGCAUCCAGAUAUACACAGCAAAUAUUAUCAGAGCCAAAGAGAGAGAUAUACCCCAAUGCAAUAAUGACCGGAGACCUCUACAUUCCAUAUUUAGCUUUGGAAAGAUCAUCCAGACAGA